UCCGUAGGGUAACCUGCGGAGGGAUCAUUACCGAGUUUACAACUCCCAAACCCCUGUGAACAUACCAAUUGUUGCCUCGGCGGAUCAGCCCGCUCCCGGUAAAACGGGACGGCCCGCCAGAGGACCCCCAAACUCUGUUUCUAUAUGUAACUUCUGAGUAAAACCAUAAAUAAAUCAAAACUUUCAACAACGGAUCUCUUGGUUCUGGCAUCGAUGAAGAACGCAGCAAAAUGCGAUAAGUAAUGUGAAUUGCAGAAUUCAGUGAAUCAUCGAAUCUUUGAACGCACAUUGCGCCCGCCAGUAUUCUGGCGGGCAUGCCUGUUCGAGCGUCAUUUCAACCCUCAAGCACAGCUUGGUGUUGGGACUCGCGAGUCAAAUCGCGUUCCCCAAAUUGAUUGGCGGUCACGUCGAGCUUCCAUAGCGUAGUAGUAAAACCCUCGUUACUGGUAAUCGUCGCGGCCACGCCGUUAAACCCCAACUUCUGAAUGUUGACCUCGGAUCAGGUAGGAAUACCAUCGCUGAACUUAAGCAUAUCAAUAGCCGGAGGAA
rnacentral:rRNA from 1 species